CAGUCGCCGCGGUAAUACGUAGGGUGCAAGCGUUAAUCGGAAUUACUUGGCGUAAAGCGUGCGCAGGCGGUUUGUUAAGACAGAUGUGAAAUCCCCGGGCUCAACCUGGGAACUGCAUUUGUGACUGGCAAGCUAGAGUCUGGCAGAGGGGGGUGGAAUUCCGCGUGUAGCAGUGAAAUGCGUAGAGAUGUGGAGGAACACCGAUGGCGAAGGCAGCCCCCUGGGCCAAUACUGACGCUCAUGCACGAAAGCGUGGGGAGCAAACAGGAUUAGAUACCCCAGUAGUCCCUGUCUCUUAUAA
rnacentral:rRNA from 1 species